ACCUGGGUGGCUCAGUUGGUUGAGCAUCUGACUUGGGCUCAGGUCAUGAUCUCACAGUUUGUGAGUUCGAGCCCCGCAUCGGGCU
rnacentral:tRNA from 1 species